UUUCCGGUUGAUCCUGCCGCCGGGCACCGCUAUUGGGGUUCGCUUAAGCCAUGCGAGUCGAGAGGGGUAAGCCCUCGGCGCACUGCUCAGUAACACGCGGACAAUCUGCCCUCGAGACGGGGAUAAUCCCGGGAAACUGGGGAUAAUACCCGAUAGGUCUGGGAUGAUGGAAGGCUCCCUGGCCAAAAUCUUCCGGGGCUCGAGGAUGGGUCUGCGGCCUAUCAGGUCGUAGGGGGUUUUACGGACCCCCUAGCCGAAGACGGGUACGGGCUUUGGGAGAAGUCGCCCGGAGAUGGAUUCUGAGACACGAAUCCAGGUCCUACGGGACGCAGCAGGCGCGAAACCUCCACAAUGUGGGCAACCACGAUGGGGGAACUCCAAGUGCUUACACUUUUGUGUAAGCUGUUCUCGAGCCUAAAAAGCUCGAGAAGUAAGGGCCGGGUAAGACGGGUGCCAGCCGCCGCGGUAAUACCCGCGGCCCGAGUGGUGCUCAUUAUUAUUGAGCCUAAAGCGUCCGUAGCUGGCCGGGCAAAUCUCCGGGUAAAUCGGGCCGCUCAACGGUCCGAAUUCCGGAGACACUGCUCGGCUUGGGAUCGGGAGAGGGUGAAGGUACUCCCGGGGUAGGGGUAGAAUCCUGUAAUCCUGGGGGGACCACCAGUGGCGAAGGCGUUCACCUAGAACGAAUCCGACAGUGAGGGACGAAGCCCUAGGGCGCAAACGGGAUUAGAUACCCCGGUAGUCUAGGGUGUAAACGCUGCAGACUUGGUGUUGGGGGUCCUGCGUGGGCUCCCAGUGCCGGAGCGAAGGUGUUGAGUCUGCCGCUUGGGGAGUACGGUCGCAAGACUGAAACUUAAAGGAAUUGGCGGGAGAGCACCGCAACGGGAGGAGCGUGCGGUUCAAUUGGAUUCAACGCCGGA
rnacentral:rRNA from 1 species